rnacentral:rRNA from 1 species
AACGCUGGCGGCGUGCCUAAUACAUGCAAGUCGAACGGUCUUUCUAUGGAAGCUUGCUUCCACUGAGAAGAUAGUGGCGAACGGGUGAGUAACACGUGGGUAACCUGCCCAUAAGAGGGGGGAUAACAUCCGGAAACGGGUGCUAAUACCGCAUAGUUUUCUUGAUCGCAUGAUCGGGAAAGGAAAGACGGCCUUUGUGCUGUCGCUUAUGGAUGGACCCGCGGCGUAUUAGUUAGUUGGUGAGGUAAUGGCUCACCAAGACGAUGAUACGUAGCCGACCUGAGAGGGUGAUCGGCCACAUUGGGACUGAGACACGGCCCAAACUCCUACGGGAGGCAGCAGUAGGGAAUCUUCCGCAAUGGACGAAAGUCUGACGGAGCAACGCCGCGUGAGUGAAGAAGGUUUUCGGAAUCGUAAAACUCUGUUGUCAGAGAAGAACAAGUUGGAGAGUAACUGCUCCAGCCUUGACGGUAUCUGACCAGAAAGCCACGGCUAACUACGUGCCAGCAGCAGC